rnacentral:lncRNA from 10 species
GUUUGGUGUCACUCUCGUGCUCUGGACAGCGCCACGCCCAGGUGUCCUGACUCAUCGUCACAUCACUGUGACAAGCUGGCUCGCACGCAGGUCAAUCCUGAUCUGUUCCCAGGCCGCACCCACGUGCCCUGCUGUUUCUCAGAGCCUCCUAGAGGGUGUUUGCUUGUGGUUCCUCUCACAGCCCUUCAACCAGGCCUUCGUUCCACCGUGCCAGCAAAAUUGUUCAUUACAAAAUCGCCAGACGCUGUCGGC